AAAUUUUGGAAGAGGCUAAUAAACGCAUUCAACCAACUGGAACUGGUGAAUUAUUCGGUGCUCUUAGAGGGCGUUUGUAUGACAGCAAUAAAAAUUUAGUUAUGGCUACUUUAACCACCAUUGGGGGUGUUGCAUCUGCGAUGGGGCCUGCUGUUGAGAAGUCAAGCAAGGGCAUUCUGUCAGACAUUUUGAAGUGUCUUGGUGAUAAUAAGAAACAUAUGAGAGAGUGUGCUUUGACUACUAUAGAUUCUUGGGCNNNNNNNNNUAAAAUGAUCCCUUAUCUUGCAGCAGCAUUGAUGGACACUAAGCUUGGUGCUGAAGGGCGUAAGGAUCUAUUUGAUUGGUUGUCAAGACAACUUUCCGGGUUAAGUGAUUUUUCUGAUGCUGUACAUCUGCUGAAACCAGCUGGCUCUGCUAUGGCGGAUAAAUCUUCAGAUGUUCGAAAAGCGGCAGAAGCAUGCAUCGCUGAGGUUUUGAGGGUUUCUGGACAAGAAAUAAUUGAGAAGAAUCUAAAAGAUCUUCAUGGGCCUGCUUUAACUCUUGUUCUUGAGCGACUGAAACCUUAUGGGGCUUUCCAAGAAUCGUUUGAAUCUGCAAAAUCAAUUUCAAUGGCGUCA
rnacentral:misc_RNA from 1 species